GUAACAUCAUUUGCGGGGCCG
rnacentral:siRNA from 1 species